CACCAGUUCGUAACAUCAGUAAAAGAGAACGUAACUUCAACAUCUACAGUUAAUACCUAUAUCACAUCAAAUUUAAACAUCUUACAUGCAAAUGGAUAAAGUGUACUUGACUUUGCGAAACCGAGUGGUGAUAUUUCAUACUCCAAAGAAAAGGCCAUAUACAUUGAAGACCGCGCGGAACCAAACGAAUGAAGUUACUGGAAAUCUUGACGGUAGCGAUAUAUCUGAUAUCAGCGGAGACUCAAUCGAGUAUUCAGUUCCAGUCCAAUUGUUUGGAAAUCUUGACGGUAGCGAUACAAAAGAUACCAAUGAAGACUCAACAAAUUAUUCUGUUAAUUCUAUUGAUGUUUGAAGAAAUUCCAUUGAAUCGUCGGAUCAACAUUGUUUUCUUUUGAAAGGGCAACAAGAAAUGGGAGCUACCUGAAAGACUCUAUUGAUUUAUCUACAAAACGAUUGAGACCACUUCGCUGCAUCUCUUGAUUAACAAACCGUGGUGCAUAUGUGCUUUUGAUCAGAGAUUAAUGCGAACAAUGCACUUGUUAUUUUCGUGUUUAUUAUUUGCAUUAGUUCGCUAACCUGAAACGAAACAAUGAAUUGCCGUUGAAAGCAUGGAGUUAACUUUAUAAAUAACUAGCUGGCUGCCACAUAAAUUUAACAGAAAGUUGACCUCUCACCUCAGCACCGCAAUGUAUUCAACAAGUAUUUGCAUUCGCACGCCGCCGCUUGAAGCUUGUGAUGCGAUCCCAUAAAUUAAACUGGCUAAAACCGUAGAAAAGGAAGGCAAACGUCACCGAAACAGAAGAAAAAAAAAAAGGAGGGUAUGACCAGAGUAAACUCAGUCCGCAGAAGCCGCAAACAUGCAAACCAAAAAAAGGGGCCACAUGGGCGCAGCUAGUAGGGGAUUGCGGAUGCCAGGGGGAGAAUGCAGCACCAACUAAGCGCGUGUCAAGAGUGCGGCCCAAGUUUUAAUUUGCCGGAUGCGUCCACUAACAUCACCACUGAAAGAACUGAUUUGAAUCUUAUUUUAUAUUUUUUAUCCGAAGCCAUACAACUUACACAUCUCAAAAAUAUCAUAGUCACUUAAAAAUUGAAUUGAGCUUUUGCUGUUCACAAUCAAAAUCUUUAUAGUUUACAUGUUGUUAUGAAUACAUUGCACGAUAUAUUUUUUUGUUAAACUAAACUUUGUUAAAUUAAAAUAUGAUAUAUUUCUUUUUGACUUAUUU
ensembl:ncRNA lncRNA:CR32835 long non-coding RNA:CR32835